AUUGAACGCUGGCGGCAGGCCUAACACAUGCAAGUCGAACGGUAACAGGAAGCAGCUUGCUGCUUUGCUGACGAGUGGCGGACGGGUGAGUAAUGUCUGGGAAACUGCCUGAUGGAGGGGGAUAACUACUGGAAACGGUAGCUAAUACCGCAUAACGUCGCAAGACCAAAGAGGGGGACCUUAGGGCCUCUUGCCAUCGGAUUUGCCCAGAUGGGAUUAGCUAGUAGGUGGGGUAACGGCUCACCUAGGCGACGAUCCCUAGCUGGUCUGAGAGGAUGACCAGCCACACUGGAACUGAGACACGGUCCAGACUCCUACGGGAGGCAGCAGUGGGGAAUAUUGCACAAUGGGCGCAAGCCUGAUGCAGCCAUGCCGCGUGUAUGAAGAAGGCCUUCGGGUUGUAAAGUACUUUCAGCGGGGAGGAAGGGAGUAAAGUUAAUACCUUUGCUCAUUGACGUUACCCGCAGAAGAAGCACCGGCUAACUCCGUG
rnacentral:rRNA from 1 species